AUUGAACGCUGGCGGCAUGCCUUACACAUGCAAGUCGAACGGUAACAGGUCUUCGGAUGCUGACGAGUGGCGAACGGGUGAGUAAUACAUCGGAACGUGCCCGAUCGUGGGGGAUAACGCAGCGAAAGCUGUGCUAAUACCGCAUACGAUCUACGGAUGAAAGCGGGGGAUCGCAAGACCUCGCGCGGACGGAGCGGCCGAUGGCAGAUUAGGUAGUUGGUGGGAUAAAAGCUUACCAAGCCGACGAUCUGUAGCUGGUCUGAGAGGACGACCAGCCACACUGGGACUGAGACACGGCCCAGACUCCUACGGGAGGCAGCAGUGGGGAAUUUUGGACAAUGGGCGAAAGCCUGAUCCAGCAAUGCCGCGUGCAGGAUGAAGGCCUUCGGGUUGUAAACUGCUUUUGUACGGAACGAAACGGUCUGCCCUAAUACGGCGGGCUAAUGACGGUACCGUAAGAAUAAGCACCGGCUAACUACGUG
rnacentral:rRNA from 1 species